rnacentral:rRNA from 1 species
GAUGAACGCUGGCGGCGUGCCUAAUACAUGCAAGUCGAGCGAACAGACGAGGAGCUUGCUCCUCUGACGUUAGCGGCGGACGGGUGAGUAACACGUGGAUAACCUACCUAUAAGACUGGGAUAACUUCGGGACACCGGAGCUAAUACCGGAUAAUAUAUUGAACCGCAUGGUUCAAUAGUGAAAGACGGUUUUGCUGUCACUUAUAGAUGGUUCCCGGCCGCAUUAGGUGGUUGUUAAGGUAACGGCUUACCAAGGCAACGAGGCGUAGCCGACCUGAGAGGGGGAUCGGCCACACUGGAACUGAGACACGGUCCAGACUCCUACGGGAGGCAGCAGUAGGGAAUCGUCCGCAAUGGGCGAAAGCCUGACGGAGCAACGCCGCGUGAGUGAUGAAGGUCUUCGGAUCGUAAAACUCUGUUAUUAGGGAAGAACAAAUGUGUAAGUAACUAUGCACGUCUUGACGGUACCUAAUCAGAAAGCCACGGCUAACUACGUG